AUUGAACGCUGGCGGCAUGCCUUACACAUGCAAGUCGAACGGUAACGCGGGGCAACCUGGCGACGAGUGGCGAACGGGUGAGUAAUACAUCGGAACGUGCCCAGUAGUGGGGGAUAGCCCGGCGAAAGCCGGAUUAAUACCGCAUACGACCUACGGGUGAAAGCAGGGGAUCGCAAGACCUUGCGCUAUUGGAGCGGCCGAUGUCAGAUUAGGUUGUUGGUGGGGGUAAAAAGCCUACCAAGCCGACGAUCUGUAGCUGGUCUGAGAGGACGACCAGCCACACUGGGACUGAGACACGGCCCAGACUCCUACGGGAGGCAGCAGUGGGGAAUUUUUGGGACAAUGGGCGCAAGCCUGAUCCAGCCAUGCCGCGUG
rnacentral:rRNA from 1 species